AUGUAGACGAGUGCUGUCGGUCAUGUGGUCCUAGUAACCAACUAUGUCAUAAUACUCCAGGCUGUUACUCCUGUGACUGUAUUCAAGCUCACCACCUCUACAAUGGCACCAACUGUCAAGUUACAACUGAUAAUGUUAAAAUUCUUAUAGCAGCAGAUUGAAAGCUUGAUGUCUUGGAUCAACAAACAGACAUCUGUGAGAUUCUCAUAUCUUUAAAUUCAAGGCCAGCAUUGACUGCAUAUGAUCUUGAGAGAAGCAUGUAUGUACUUCUGGGUGGAUGAAGUCUUAAAUGUGUUUGUCCUUGGGAAGUUGAACUCUAUUCUCCUCUAUCCAAAGUCUUCUUAGAAAUAGAAAUAGAACACACUCUUUAAACAAAUCCUGGAGCAACGGGAUUAGAGGAGCCUACGAGUUCUACCUGGUGACUAUGGACAAAGCCGCUCUUGUGCUGUGGAACAAGAGGACGCAGCAGCCUUCUCGGUGUUGAAAGAGCCAUAUAUAAAGAAAAUGAUCAUCUUGGCAGAGAACCAGGAGGUGGCCAGAUCCCGGGGUUGAAGGAGCAGCCCCAACCACCGCUCCUGCUCCUCCCGCUCCUCCUCUGCCACAUCGGCUUUGCAUCCAUCCUCUGUUCCCUGUGGAAAUGGGAGGAACAUGUUUCUUGGGAGCACCUCCGUGAUGGCACAUGCACCUGUCAGGAUGGCUCAGAUAAAGAGUGAUGCUCCCAGUCCUGCCACAGACCAGGUAGUAAUAGGUGCUCAAAAGACCAUGGAGGAUGUGGCCAUAUUUGUAUCCCAGACCCUGAAGGACAGAUUCUUAGAUGUCCCAGGGAGUCCUACGAGGCUGAUGCAAACACAUGCAUUGGAGCUUUUGUCUGCUUGGCACCAUCACAUCCUGUAAGGAUGCUCAGACAUGCAUUUCCAUGGGGCAAGUUUAUGAUGGUCCUGCUGACUGUCUGGAUGCAUCUGGUAACAUGGGCU
rnacentral:sRNA from 1 species